AGUGAACGCUGGCGGUAGGCCUAACACAUGCAAGUCGAACGGUAGCACAGUAAGAGCUUGCUCUUACGGGUGGCGAGUGGCGGAAGGGUGAGGUAUACAUCGGAAUCUACUUUUUUGUGGGGGAUAAAGUAGGGAAACUUACGCUAAUAUCGCAUACGACCUACGGGUGAAAGCAGGGGCUCUUCGGAUCUUGCGCGAUUGCAUGAGCCGAUGUCGGAUUAGCUAGUUGGCGGGGUAAAGGCCCACCAAGGCGACGAUCCGUAGCUGGUCUGAGAGGAUGAUCAGGCACACUGGAACUGAGACACGGUCCAGACUCCUACGGGAGGCAGCAGUGGGGAAGAGUGGACGAUGGGCGCAAUCCUGAUCCAGCCAUACCGCGUGGGUGAAGAAGGCCUUCGGGUUGGAAAACCCUUUUGUUGGGAAAGAAAAGCAGCAGGUUAAUACCCCGCUGUUCUGACGGUACCCAAAGAAUAAGCACCGGCUAACUUCGUG
rnacentral:rRNA from 1 species